rnacentral:rRNA from 1 species
CGCGAGUAUUCAGAGUUUGAUCCUGGCUCAGGAUGAACGCUAGCGACAGGCUUAACACAUGCAAGUCGAGGGGCAGCAUAGAAGUAGCAAUACUUUGGUGGCGACCGGCGCACGGGUGAGUAACGCGUAUGCAACCUACCUAUCAGAGGGGAAUAACCCGGCGAAAGUCGGACUAAUACCGCAUAAAACAGGGGCACCGCAUGGUGAUAUUUGUUAAAGAAAUUCGCUGAUAGAUGGGCAUGCGUUCCAUUAGGUAGUUGGUGAGGUAACGGCUCACCAAGCCGACGAUGGAUAGGGGAACUGAGAGGUUGGUCCCCCACACUGGUACUGAGACACGGACCAG